rnacentral:rRNA from 1 species
CACGUAGGGGGCGAGCGUUGUCCGGAUUCAUUGGGCGUAAAGAGCUCGUAGGCGGCUCAGUAAGUCGGGUGUGAAACCCUCAGGCUCAACCUGGGGACGCCACUCGAUACUGCUGUGGCUAGAGUCCAGUAGAGGAGUGUGGAAUUCCCGGUGUAGCGGUGAAAUGCGCAGAUAUCGGGAGGAACACCAACGGCGAAGGCAGCACUCUGGGCUGGAACUGACGCUGAGGAGCGAAAGCGAUGGGU